CUGGUCUGGGAGAUCCAGGUGUAUUUAGGUGGUACUGCGUCUGGUCUGGGAGAUCCAGGUGUGUUUAGGUGGUACUGCGCCUGGUCUGGGGGGUACUGCAUCUGGUCUGGGAGAUCCAGGUGUGUUUAGGUGGUACUGCGUCUGGUCUGGGGGGUACUGCAUCUGGUCUGGGAGAUCCAGGUGUAUUUAGGUGGUACUGCGUCUGGUCUGGGGGGUACUGCGUCUGGUCUGGGAGAUCCAGG